AGAGUUUGAUCCUGGCUCAGAACGAACGCUGGCGGCAUGCCUAACACAUGCAAGUCGAACGGGAUCCGAGCUUCGGUUCGGUGAGAGUGGCGGACGGGUGAGUAACGCGUGGGAACCUGCCCAGUGGUGGGGGGAUAACUGCGGGAAACUGCAGCUAAUACCGCAUGAGCCCGAGAGGGGAAAGAUUUAUCGCCAUUGGAGGGGCCCGCGUUCGAUUAGGUAGUUGGUGAGGUAACGGCUCACCAAGCCGACGAUCGAUAGCUGGUCUGAGAGGAUGAUCAGCCACACUGGGACUGAGAUACGGCCCAGACUCCUACGGGAGGCAGCAGUGGGGAAUAUUGGACAAUGGGGGCAACCCUGAUCCAGCAAUGCCGCGUGAGUGAUGAAGGCCUUCGGGUUGUAGAGCUCUUUUGCCAGGGACGAUGAUGACGGUACCUGGAGAAUAAGCCCCGGCUAACUUCGUG
rnacentral:rRNA from 1 species